AUGUAUACAACAAAAAUAUUUAUCUUACUAUCUUUAUCAGAUCUCACUUUCGCAAGUGAUUAUGAAGGGAUUGACAACCCCUUUAUCACGUUGGUUGCGAGGUUCUUGAUUGUUUGUGCAGGUACUAGAUGA
rnacentral:rRNA from 1 species